rnacentral:sRNA from 1 species
AGUUUAGAAAUUUUGUUUACUAUUUGGUAAUCUACAAAAUCCUUC